rnacentral:pre_miRNA from 7 species
UUCUCGGGUUUCUGGCCACUCCCAAACCCCAGACGAGCCCCCCAAAAUGUAAGACCCCCCCUUUCAGGGACCCCCACUCUAGUCUCAGGAGUGAGAGAGCACCCAAAGAAACACAAGAAUCC